AGAGUCAUUACAGGGAGGCUUCUAUGAAGAGCGCGGGGGAAAGAAACCGUCGUGGAGAAUACACGUGGCGAAGCGCUAUUCGUAGUUGCUUGGAGAGAAUUGGUUUGGGCCGGAAAAGUUGAAGCCCAUAACAAGCCCAAUUUGAGCCGAAAAUGGCCCAUAUAUUUAAAGUUUUGGUUCAGGGCCUACAAAGGCCCACAAUGAUAGCCUCUUGGGAUUUUUUUUUUCUAUUACUCUUUUUCCAAAAAUUGAGUUUUUUUUUUUUCUUUUUCUUUUUUGGAGUUAAAACCAGUAAAAAUUGUCAAAUGGUGAGAAACCCCCUCAACUAAAGGUAGUUUAUAAUAGACCGCUCGACUACUUUCGAUCGAAAUGAUCUAUAAAUUAGGGGUCUCCAUAUUUUAAGUUAGAUGAGCAUCUAAGAAUAUAAAAGCUGGCCACAUAUAAGCUUUAUCAUUCUUUGCUUGAGUUUGCUUUUUUCCCUUCUUUUGUUUUGGCUUCUUCCAUAAGCCUCACUUUUGGCUGAGAACUUAGGCAUCAUAAUUGCAGUCUACUAAGUCUACAUGAGAUGAGUAUUCUAUAGAAGUAAGUAUCUUAUGGAAAGGAGAGUUGUAUCAAUAAUUACAUUCUUUUGCUGAUUAUUCUCUUUCUUUCCUCUCUCUCUCUCUCUCUCUAGCUUUUUGAUGAAACCAAAUGAUUGAUCAGUUCCUUCAUUGCCAAGUCUUGUGAUCAAGUUGCAUUUUCAGAUUACGAGAAAGUUUGAUGGGCUUCUAGUACGGAAAAGAAGAAGCUUUUGGCGCUCUCACUUCGAGCUUGCGAAGCAAAGGUGUUUUGGAGUGUGAUGGAAAUAAAUGUUUAGGCCUGUCGAACAUUUUUACUUUAACAACAUUUUAUUUAUGGAACCGACCGUCCCUAGAGCAAGUGGCAAAGGGCUUGGUGGUUAAUAUCCGAGACCCAAGUUCGAAUUCUAGUUGAUUCACAUUUCUAGCUAAGUUUAUUUUUAAAUGAAGUAAACGAAGCGGGUAGCGAGCUACCUAUCUCUCUCAAAAAAAAAAAAAAAAACAUUUUAUUUAUGGAGGCCACUGAAUAAAGUUCACAGUAAGUAGUCAUAUUGGAUCAAUGUGUGUGCAUUGACUUUGAUCAGUAAAUAUAAAAAUCCAAAUGUAUAUAUGAAAAUUUUUA